rnacentral:misc_RNA from 1 species
AAAAAGUCUUGAUUGCAAAGGAAGAAACAAAUGAGCAUAAAGAGAAGGAAGAAAUAAGAAAUAGAGGGAUACAGAAAAGCAAAGAAUAGUGAAAAAAAAAAGCAUUUAUUACAAAUCAACAACUUAAAAGUAAAAACAAAUUUUAUGUAUUGUAGAAACAAAAAACCAAAAACUCACCUUAAUUUGUUUCGUCAUAGGUGCAUCAAACAUGAUAUGUGAUUACUAUUUCUUGUCUUUUCUUUUGUUAUCAUUUCCUAUCUUGGUCAAUGUUGGCCACUAGGGAUGUGCGGUUCCGGUUUGGUUUGGGGUCUGCCUAGGAACAGAAAUUGCAUUGAAAUUUCGGUAUGGUUCCGGUUCAGUUUUUCGUUGUUUCGGUUAGAUACGGAUCUGGUUUGGUUAUCGGCUCUUGAAACAAUUUUAUGUAAUUA